rnacentral:rRNA from 1 species
AUUGAACGCUGGCGGCAGGCCUAACACAUGCAAGUCGAGCGGAUGAAGGGAGCUUGCUCCUGGAUUCAGCGGCGGACGGGUGAGUAAUGCCUAGGAAUCUGCCUGGUAGUGGGGGAUAACGUCCGGAAACGGGCGCUAAUACCGCAUACGUCCUGAGGGAGAAAGUGGGGGAUCUUCGGACCUCACGCUAUCAGAUGAGCCUAGGUCGGAUUAGCUAGUUGGUGGGGUAAAGGCCUACCAAGGCGACGAUCCGUAACUGGUCUGAGAGGAUGAUCAGUCACACUGGAACUGAGACACGGUCCAGACUCCUACGGGAGGCAGCAGUGGGGAAUAUUGGACAAUGGGCGAAAGCCUGAUCCAGCCAUGCCGCGUGUGUGAAGAAGGUCUUCGGAUUGUUAAGCACUUUAAGUUGGGAGGAAGGGCAGUAAGUUAAUACCUUGCUGUUUUGACGUUACCAACAGAAUAAGCACCGGCUAACUUCGUG